rnacentral:rRNA from 1 species
GACGAAGGGGGGCUAGCGUUGUUCGGAAUUACUGGGCGUAAAGCGAGUGUAGGUGGUUGUCAUAGUCAGGCGUGAAAGCCUUGAGCUCAACUCAAGAAAUGCGCUUGAUACUGGGCAGCUAGAGGACCGGAGAGGAUAGUGGAAUUCCCAGUGUAGUGGUGAAAUACGUAGAGAUUGGGAAGAACACCAGUGGCGAAGGCGGCUAUCUGGACGGUUUCUGACACUAAGACUCGAAAGCGUGGGGAGCGAACAGG